rnacentral:rRNA from 1 species
ACAGGUUAGUUUUACCCUACUGAUGAAUCGCAAACUCUUGUAGCGUACGGUGUUGUCGCGAUAGUAAUAUAACUUAGUACGAGAGGAACCGUUAUCUCAGAUAAUUGGUAUUUGCGCUUGUCUGAAAAGACAGUGGCGCGAAGCUACCAUCUGUAGGAUUAUGGCUGAACGCCUCUAAGCCAGAAUCCAUGCUAGAUAAGCGACGAUUAUUUUUU